UGCCAGCCGCCGCGGUAAUACGAAGGCGGCAAGCGUUAUUCGGAAUCACUGGGCAUAAAGGGCCUGUAGGCGGUUUGAUUAGUUAAUUGUGAAAUCCCUCAGCUUAACUGGGGAAUUGCUGUUAAAACUGUCAAGCUAGAGUGUUGGAGGGGUAAGUGGAAUUCUUGGUGGAGCGGUGGAAUGCGUAGAUAUCAAGAGGAACGCCGGAGGCGAAAGCGACUUACUGGACAACUACUGACGCUGAGGGGCGAAAGCGAGGGGAGCAAACGGGAUUAGAUA
rnacentral:rRNA from 1 species